CAGUGUGUGGUUUGGUAGCCUGGACUGACGUCCUGCUGGGCACGUCAGAACUGCACAUCACCAGGAGGUCACAAAGGUGGGAAUGGAGCCCGGGGCAGGACAAAGUCGGGAAGGCAGGACAGGAGAGAUGUCCAGACCCAGACAGGGAUCCAGAAUCCACAUCCCCACAUUCAAAUCCAAGGACCCAAGACAGAGUACUUGAGUGUCAUCUACAUCCGAUGGUUCGAGCCAGGCAAAUAGUUGGCAAGGAUGACAGUGUUUGUGGAAACCAUGAGAAGACGAUACUGAGAGAAGUCCCCAUCCCGAGUCCCCAAGGCAAUCUUCCAUCUUUCUCUGAAGGAAGAGGAGGAGCUGGCAAUCAGAGACAGCCACGUGAUGCUGGGUUCCAUAGAAAGUCUUCAGCAGAGAAUUCUUCCAAAGUG